ACGUGAUCAGUGAUCCCCUCAACAAGUUCUCCUAGUCGACCGUCUACAUUCCGAUCCACUCCUCCAUUUCUUUCUUAAUUUUCUCGGUAAACAAACACACGAAAUAUACAGAUUGAAAUGUUGGAUCCAGUUCUAAACUCGUCACCGGCACCGCCGACUCCUCAGCCUAGAUCCACCACGGAUUUCUUCUCUGACCCAUUGGACUCGCAUCCGCUCUGGUUCAAGCCCUCCCUCUUCCUCUCCCCCGAUUUCGACUCUGAUUCCUACAUCUCCGAGCUCCGCACUUUCGUGCCGUUUGAUACGCUCCGUUCGGAGCUCCGGGCGCAUCUUUCUUCACUCCAUCAUGAACUCAUUGACCUCAUAAAUCGUGAUUAUGGCGACUUUGUUAACCUUAGCACCAAGCUCGUUGAUGUUGACUCCACCGUGGUUCGAAUGCGGGCCCCUCUUUUGGAGCUCCGCGAGAAGAUCGAGGGUUUCCGUUCCUCUGUCGAAGCGCCUCUCGUUGCGCUCAAGAGUGGGUUGAAGCAGCGAUCUGAGGCGUCUGCCACCAGGGAGGUCCUUGAGCUCUUGCUCGAUACGUUUCAUGUUGUCUCUAAGGUUGAGAAACUUAUAAAGGAGCUACCUAGUGUGCCUGCUGAUUGGUCAAAUAUAAAUGGAGAGGUUAGUAAAGAAAGGGAUGUCGUGAGUAACGGGACUGCCUUACAACAUGUUGAGAAUGGAAUAAAUUUAAGGGAGACUCAAAGCAUGCUUUUGGAGAGGAUUGCCAGUGAAAUGAACCGGCUCAGGUUUUAUGUUGCUCAUGCACAGAACCUUCCUUUCAUUGAAAAUAUGGAGAAGAGGAUUCAAGGAGCCAGCCAAUUGUUAGAUGCAAGCUUGGGACAUUGUUUUGUGGAUGCAUUGGAGUACCGAGAUAAAAAUGCUAUCUAUAAUUGCUUACGUGCUUACGCUGCUGUUGACAACACCCGGAGUGCAGAAGAAAUUUUUAGGACAAAUGUUGUGGCCCCACUGAUACAGAAAAUAAUUCCAUAUGGAUAUGGUCCAUCGGGUAUUGUAGCUGGCCCAUCUACUGACGAACUUGAAAAUGACUAUCAACAAAUCAAGCAAUGCAUUGAGAAAGAGUGCAAAUUCUUGUUGGACAUUUCUUCUACAGAAAAUUCAGGUUUGCAUGUGUUUGACUUCUUGGCCAAUUCAAUCUUGAAAGAGGUUCUUGCGGCAGUCACGCACGGAAGGAAGGAAGCUUUGUCCCCUGGGAAGCCUACAAAGUUUUUGAAAAACUAUAAAUCAAGUCUUGAUUUCUUGGCUCACCUUGAAGGCUACUGUCCGUCCAGAUCUGCUGUCGUUAAGUUUCGAGCAGAAGUUGUCUGUGUUGAGUUCAUGAAGAUGUGGAAUGUUGGAGCUUAUUUCUAUACAAGAUUUCAGGAAAUAGCAGGGGCCCUAGAUUCUACACUUGCUGCUACCACUUUAGUCCCUAUUCAGAAUUCAAAUUCUGGUGAUGGAAAAAUUCAAAAUCUAACAUUAAAACAAAGCACUGCUCUUUUGGAGAGCUUGAGAUCUUGCUGGAGAGAAGACGUUCUAGUCCUAUCUUGUUCUGACAAGUUUCUUCGCUUAUCCUUACAACUUAUUUCCAGAUACUCAAAUUGGCUGUCAUCUGGAUUAGCUGCUCGGAAGACGGGUAAUGCAGGUUCUAAUCCUGGAGGUGAAUGGGCUACUUCAGCUGUUCCUGAAGAGUUUAUCUAUAUUAUUCAUGACAUAAAUUGUCUCACCGCAGAAGUUUGCGGUGACUACCUGGGACAUGUGCUUCAGCUUCUAUCCGCAUGCUCUGUUGAUGUUCUUGAUCUAGUGAAACAAAGCAUUUUGCAAGGGGGAAAAGCUUUACAUGCUUUAGUACCUCCAGCUGUCAAGAUAAUAAUAGAAGUCCUAGUUGAGAAGUCUGCUGAGGACUUGAGACAGCUGAAGGGAAUAACUGCAACUUAUAGGAUGACUAAUAAGCCUCUUCCUGUCAGGCAUUCACCCUAUGUUUCAGGGAUAUUGCGACCUGUGAAGGCCUUUUUGGAUGGGGAGCGAGCUACAACAUAUUUGACCAAGGAAACUAGGAAUGAAAUACUGCUUGGGGCUGCAACAGAUAUUACAGAUCGAUAUUAUGAACUAGCUGCUGACCUUGUCAAUGUGGCUAGGAAAACGGAGUCUUCGCUGCAGAGAAUACGCCAGGGUGCACAAAGAAGAGCUGGAGCAAGUUCAGAUGUCUCAGAUCACAAUGUGUCUGAUACUGACAAGAUAUGUAUGCAACUGUUUCUUGAUAUUCAGGAGUAUGGACGCAACCUUGCUGUUAUUGGAGUUGAAGCAGCCGAUAUUCCAUCGUAUCGUUCCUUGUGGCAAUGUGUUGCCCCUCAAGAUAGGCAAUUGACAAUUAAUUUCUAAGAGCAAACACCUGCUGCAGUACAGGUUUUUUGGGCUUAUUUAGUUACAAGACAAGAAAUGACUAACAGUGAAGAGGCUUUGUUCAAUUCCUUGCUUUUCUUUGCAGGGCUUUUGUGGACGCUGGACUGGUCCAGGCUUGUUGCCUCUGACUCGAAUCCGCCAUCGCUGAUAUCAGUAGAUGCAACCAGAUCACUCCAGAAAGGAUCCUGCAGCAGCUCAACAAGUCUCUCUUUCUUCUCUGGACUAGGUUUUUGUUCAAGACUGAUUUUCUUUUUCCUGUUUCUUUCAAGACUGCAUGUCUUAUUAAUGCUACGUCUGCUUGAAGUGCUGGCACAGGAUAUAGAAUCUUUGUGGAAAGAAAAAAAAAAGAUAGAAAAUACUCAAUAACUACUAGUGAAAGUUAGAAGAUGCAGAUUUCUAGUUC